rnacentral:misc_RNA from 1 species
GAUGAAGAACGUAGCGAAAUGCGAUAAGUAAUGUGAAUUGCAGAAUUCAGUGAAUCAUCGAAUCUUUGAACGCACAUUGCGCCCGUCAGUAUUCUGGCGGGCAUGCCUGUUCGAGCGUCAUUACGCCCCUCAAGUCCCCUGUGGACUUGGUGUUGGGGAUCGGCGAGGCUGGUUUUCCAGCACAGCCGUCCCUUAAAUUAAUUGGCGGUCUCGCUGUGGCCCUCCUCUGCGCAGUAGUAAAACACUCGCAACAGGAGCCCGGCGCGGUCCACUGCCGUAAAACCCCCCAACUUUUUAUAGUUGACCUCGAAUCAGGUAGGACUACCCGCUGAACUUAAGCAUAUCAAUAAGCGGAGGA